rnacentral:rRNA from 1 species
UAGGGAAUCUUCGGCAAUGGACGGAAGUCUGACCGAGCAACGCCGCGUGAGUGAAGAAGGUUUUCGGAUCGUAAAGCUCUGUUGUAAGAGAAGAACGAGUGUGAGAGUGGAAAGUUCACACUGUGACGGUAUCUUACCAGAAAGGGACGGCUAACUACGUGCCAGCAGCCGCGGUAAUACGUAGGUCCCGAGCGUUGUCCGGAUUUAUUGGGCGUAAAGCGAGCGCAGGCGGUUAGAUAAGUCUGAAGUUAAAGGCUGUGGCUUAACCAUAGUACGCUUUGGAAACUGUUUAACUUGAGUGCAAGAGGGGAGAGUGGAAUUCCAUGUGUAGCGGUGAAAUGCGUAGAGAUGUGGAGGAAUACCGAAGGCGAAGGCAGCCCCUUGGGAAUGUACUGACGCUCAUGUGCGAAAGCGUGGGGAGCAAACAGGAUUAGAUACCCUGGUAGUCCACGCCGUAAACGAUGAGGUGCUAGGNGUUAGACCCUUUCCGGGGNUUAGUGCCGUAGCUAACGCAUUAAGCACUCCNCCUGGGGAGNACNANCGCNGGGUG